rnacentral:rRNA from 1 species
UACGAAGGGUGCAAGCGUUACUCGGAAUUACUGGGCGUAAAGCGUGCGUAGGUGGUUGUUUAAGUCUGUUGUGAAAGCCCUGGGCUCAACCUGGGAAUUGCAGUGGAUACUGGGCGACUAGAGUGUGGUAGAGGGUAGUGGAAUUCCCGGUGUAGCAGUGAAAUGCGUAGAGAUCGGGAGGAACAUCCAUGGCGAAGGCAGCUACCUGGACCAACACUGACGCUGAGGAGCGAAAGCGUGGGGAGCGAACAGG